rnacentral:lncRNA from 1 species
AGGGGAAUGGCCCUUCCUCACUUUCUGACGAUUUUUUUUUACGCUCUUCUGUCUUUGGGGAAAGCGGCAGGCUAAGGAAAACCGGGAAGCCACGCAGACCUCUGCCUGUGACACAGCACGUGGGCUGGCCUCUGGCAACUGACAGAGGGAACAUUGCUGCUGAUGCGAAGAAAAGUCAUCAGAGAUUCUAAAAAAUAACGACUAUGGCGGAUAAGCAAGGAGGGACAGGAGGUGACCAAGGCCACAGUGGGGAGAGACCUAGCAGAGAGAGCACCCACCUCAAUCAGGCCACAGCCGGGACGGAGGUUCUGAGCCACGUCUCCUGAGUUCAUUUACUCGGUGGAAGUCAAUCUUAAUUGUCAAUUCGAUGAGAUUUUUAAUCGCCAUGGAAACAGACCUCUGAGCAUGUCACGGAGACAGUUUCUAUAUCAGGUUAAUCGAGGUACAUCUGAGGUACAACAGUCUACCUCAUAGUGGCCUCUGACAGUCCAAAGCACGAGCGGUCAUUGCCAGGGCAGCUCCAUUGUCUGCCAGAGCCCUCUCUGCUCUGCUUAUAGCUGUCUCAUGCCAGCCGAGUCGCUUCAGCAUGCAGGUGCCUGCCUCUGCUCACCCCCUGUCAGUUCCCAGAUCAGAGACACCAGGAUGCCCCCCGUAAAAAAUUUUCUUCUUUAAGUUGCCUUGGUCAUUGUGUCUAAGUAGCUAAGACACCUUGCUCGGUUUUAAACUCACUCAUUCAAAACCAAAACCAUAGCUUUCAUAAACCAUUCUCUGGACUGUACAGAACAACUCCUUAAGGCAAACACAUAUCUGUGGAUUCUAUAUAUGGCCAAGCAGUUGAGUACCCUCUGGUGCUAAAAUAAAGAGCAAUGAACUUUCUAGCCAGAAGGAGGAAUGUCAUCAAGAGAAAGAAGUCAGCUCGAAAAGCAUGAUAAGCUUCUAACUAUAAGAUAUUCCGUCGUAACCGAAACUAUGGGGACAAGAACAGGACCCAUGGUGGCCAUCGGUUCUGAGGGACAAGGAGAAAGAAACAGCUGAGCAUAAAACAUUCCACACGUGGGGGGGGGGGGGUCCACUCAGAUCCAUUGGCACAAAAUGCCUCCUACCCACAACUGUCUUUAUAAAUAAAGUUUUAUUGCAA